rnacentral:rRNA from 1 species
UACAGGGGGGGCAAGCGUUGUUCGGAAUUACUGGGCGUAAAGGGUUCGUAGGUGGCUCACUAAGUCACACGUGAAAUCCCUCAGCUUAACUGGGGAACUGCGUGUGAGACUGGAGAGCUUGAGGGUAGGAGAGGAAUGCGGAAUUCCAGGUGUAGCGGUGAAAUGCGUAGAUAUCUGGAGGAACACCGGUGGCGAAGGCGGCUCACUGGACCGGUAUUGACGCUGAGGUGCGAAAGCGUGGGGAGCAAGCAGG